rnacentral:rRNA from 1 species
UGCAAGUCGAACGGUAACAGGAAGCAGCUUGCUGCUUUGCUGACGAGUGGCGGACGGGUGAGUAAUGUCUGGGAAACUGCCCGAUGGAGGGGGAUAACUACUGGAAACGGUAGCUAAUACCGCAUAACGUCGCAAGACCAGAGAGGGGGACCUUCGGGCCUCUUGCCAUCGGAUGUGCCCAGAUGGGAUUAGCUUGUUGGUGAGGUAACGGCUCACCAAGGCGACGAUCCCUAGCUGGUCUGAGAGGAUGACCAGCCACACUGGAACUGAGACACGGUCCAGACUCCUACGGGAGGCAGCAGUGGGGAAUAUUGCACAAUGGGCGCAAGCCUGAUGCAGCCAUGCCGCGUGUAUGAAGAAGGCCUUCGGGUUGUAAAGUACUUUCAGCGGGGAGGAAGGUGUUGUGGUUAAUAACCGCAACAAUUGACGUUACCCGCAGAAGAAGCACCGGCUAACUCCGUGCCAGCAGCCGCGGUAAUACGGAGGGUGCAAGCGUUAAUCGGAAUUACUGGGCGUAAAGCGCACGCAGGCGGUCUGUCAAGUCGGAUGUGAAAUCCCCGGGCUCAACCUGGGAACUGCAUUCGAAACUGGCAGGCUUGAGUCUCGUAGAGGGGGGUAGAAUUCCAGGUGUAGCGGUGAAAUGCGUAGAGGUCUGGAGGAAUACCGGUGGCGAAGGCGG